GGAGAGGUGCCAGAGUGGCCGAUCGGGAACGACUCGAAAUCGUUUGACCUGAGAGAUCAGGUCCGUGGGUUCGAAUCCCACCCUCUCCGCCA
rnacentral:tRNA from 3 species